rnacentral:misc_RNA from 1 species
GAUGAAGAACGUAGCGAAAUGCGAUACGUAAUGUGAAUUGCAGAAUUCAGUGAAUCAUCGAGUCUUUGAACGCACAUUGCGCCCCCUGGUAUUCCGGGGGGCAUGCCUGUCCGAGCGUCAUUGCUGCCCUCAAGCACGGCUUGUGUGUUGGGCCUCCGUCCUCCUCCCGGGGGACGGGCCCGAAAGGCAGCGGCGGCACCGCGUCCGGUCCUCGAGCGUAUGGGGCUUCGUCACCCGCUCUUGUAGGCCCGGCCGGCGCUUGCCGACACAUCAAUCUUUUUUCCAGGUUGACCUCGGAUCAGGUAGGGAUACCCGCUGAACUUAAGCAUAUAAUAAGCGGAGA